GAAUCUUCCGCAAUGGACGAAAGUCUGACGGAGCAACGCCGCGUGAGCGAUGAAGGCCUUAGGGUUGUAAAGCUCUUUCAGUGGGGAAGAUAAUGACGGUACCCACAGAAGAAGCCCCGGCUAACUUCGUGCCAGCAGCCGCGGUAAUACGAAGGGGGCUAGCGUUGUUCGGAUUUACUGGGCGUAAAGCGCACGUAGGCGGUUUGUUAAGUCAGAGGUGAAAUCCCGGAGCUCAACUCCGGAACUGCCUUUGAUACUGGCAAGCUAGAGUCCGGAAGAGGUGAGUGGAACUCCUAGUGUAGAGGUGGAAUUCGUAGAUAUUAGGAAGAACACCAGUGGCGAAGGCGGCUCACUGGUCCGGUACUGACGCUGAGGUGCGAAAGCGUGGGGAGC
rnacentral:rRNA from 1 species